AAGCUACUCCCUCUGUUCCAAAAUUCUUGUCUUAGAUUUGUCUAAAUACGGAUGUAUCAAGUCACGUUUUAGUAUUAGAUACAUCCGUAUCUAGACAAAUCUAAGACAAGAAUAUUUGGACAGAGGGAGUACAUC
rfam:Triticum aestivum genome assembly, contig: Triticum_aestivum_CS42_TGACv1_scaffold_394311_5AS